rnacentral:ribozyme from 1 species
UCUUCGUGGAUCGCGUGGACACUCCUCCGGAAGAGUCCAUUCUUUGAAGUUGGAAGACAACGAUUGGUUAUAUUUUGUUAUGUUUUGUUUUGUUUUGUUUUGUUUGUUUAUUCUUUCAAGUACGUUUUAAAAG